UGAGCAAUCUGCCCUUCUCAUCGGAAUAAGCGUUGGAAACGACGUCUAAUGCCGAAUACGACCUCCUUUCGCAUGAUCGGAGGUGGAAAGCUCCGGCAGAGAAGGAUGAGCUCGCGGCCUAUCAGCUAGUUGGUGUGGGUAAUGGCCCACCAAGGCGACGACGGGUAGCCGGCCUGAGAGGGUGACCGGCCACACUGGGACUGAGACACGGCCCAGACUCCUAGGAG
rnacentral:rRNA from 1 species